rnacentral:rRNA from 1 species
AUUGAACGCUGGCGGCAGGCCUAACACAUGCAAGUCGAGCGGGGUUUUCGGACCCAGCGGCGGACGGGUGAGUAAUGCGUAGGAAGCUGCCCGAUAGAGGGGGAUACCAGUUGGAAACGACUGUUAAUACCGCAUAAUGUCUACGGACCAAAGUGUGGGACCUUCGGGCCACAUGCUAUCGGAUGCGCCUACGUGGGAUUAGCUCGUUGGUGAGGUAAUGGCUCACCAAGGCGACGAUCUCUAGCUGGUUUGAGAGGAUGAUCAGCCACACUGGAACUGAGACAAGGUCCAGACUCCGACGGGAGGCAGCAGUGAGGAAUAUUGGACAAUGGGCGCAAGCCUGAUCCAGCCAUGCAGCGUGUGUGAAGAAGGCCUUCGGGUUGUAAAGCACUUUCAGCGAGGAGGAAGGGUGGUGUGUUAAUAGCACAUCAUUUUGACGUUACUCGCAGAAGAAGCACCGGCUAACUCUGUGCCAGCCGCCGCGGUAAAAC